GGAGUACGACCGCAAGGUUGAAACUCAAAGGAAUUGACGGGGGCCCGCACAAGCGGUGGAGCAUGUGGUUUAAUUCGAAGCAACGCGAAGAACCUUACCAGGUCUUGACAUCCUUUGACCACUCUGGAGACAGAGCUUUCCCUUCGGGGACAAAGUGACAGGUGGUGCAUGGUUGUCGUCAGCUCGUGUCGUGAGAUGUUGGGUUAAGUCCCGCAACGAGCGCAACCCUUGAUUUUAGUUGCCAGCAUUUAGUUGGGCACUCUAAAGUGACUGCCGGUGCAAGCCGGAGGAAGGUGGGGAUGACGUCAAAUCAUCAUGCCCCUUAUGACCUGGGCUACACACGUGCUACAAUGGAUGGUACAAAGGGUCGCGAAGCCGCGAGGUGGAGCCAAUCCCAUAAAACCAUUCUCAGUUCGGAUUGUAGGCUGCAACUCGCCUACAUGAAGCCGGAAUCGCUAGUAAUCGUGGAUCAGCAUGCCACGGUGAAUACGUUCCCGGGCCUUGUACACACCGCCCGUCACACCACGAGAGUUUGUAACACCCGAAGUCGGUAGGGUAAC
rnacentral:rRNA from 1 species